CUUCCGGUGGUGCACCUGCGGAGGGAUCAUUACAGAGCAUCAUGCCCUUCGGGGUAGAUCUCCCACCCUAUGUAUUACAUACUUUUGUUGCUUUGGCGGGCCGCCUCGGCCACCGGCUUCGGCUGGUGCGUGCCCGCCAGAGGACCCCAAACUCUGAAUGUUAGUGUCGUCUGAGUACUAUAUAAUAGUUAAAACUUUCAACAACGGAUCUCUUGGUUCUGGCAUCGAUGAAGAACGCAGCGAAAUGCGAUAAGUAAUGUGAAUUGCACAAUUCAGUGAAUCAUCGAAUCUUUGAACGCACAUUGCGCCCUCUGGUAUUCCGGAGGGCAUGCCUGUUCGAGCGUCAUUACAACCCUCAAGCUCUGCUUGGCCUUGGGCAUCACCGGCAACGGUGGGCCUCAAACCCAGUGGCGGUGCCAUCUGGCUCUAAGCGUAGUCAUUCUUCUCGCUAUAGGUGCCCGGUGCAUGCUUGCCAACAACCCCCUAACUUCUUAAGGUUGACCUCGGAUCAGGUAGGGAUACCCGCUGAACUUAAGCAUAUCAAUAAGCGGA
rnacentral:rRNA from 1 species